GGAGGGGUGCCCGAGUGGUUAAAGGGGACGGACUGUAAAUCCGUUGGCUCAGCCUACGCUGGUUCGAAUCCAGCCCCCUCCACCA
rnacentral:tRNA from 2 species